rfam:Dehalogenimonas alkenigignens strain IP3-3 genomic scaffold scaffold00001, whole genome shotgun sequence.
CUAAAGGCUUCUUUUGAAGCCGCCCAAAAAACAAUAGCCGAGUUG